rnacentral:misc_RNA from 1 species
CUGUUUACCAGCAUAAAUAAGCCUGCAACAAGUAGUAUGUGUCAACAAAUCUUAUUCAAUCCAGAUGAAAGUAAAACAUAGCAUCGCAGGGCAAGGUAAGAAACUAAUGUAAAAAUAACACUGUUACAAAUUGAAAGGGCUCUAAAUCAAUGAUUAACUAAUCAUGGAGGAAUUGAUGAUUGAUUCUAAUAUGAUGUGGAAACAUAGAGUUGUUAAUGGUUCAGAUGGUCUACAAGAACAACUUGAAGCAUAAGUGAGAAGCAAUAUGGGGGGAAAUAAUAGACCCUUUGGCACCUACAAGAUUGAUAGUCAGAAUUACAGUAAAUACAGCUAGGACACUACCUCCAAAGAAUUAUACAUUAGCAGAUAAAAUUUGGGAUAAUGCUGAUGCAGAAGACUUAAAUAUAGAAAUAGAAUAAGAUCAAAUUGUUACCUUUGCUGCACUGG